UACGAAGGGGGCUAGCGUUGUUCGGAAUUACUGGGCGUAAAGCGCACGUAGGCGGAUUGUCAAGUCAGAGGUGAAAUCCCGGAGCUCAACUUCGGAACUGCCUUUGAUACUGGCAAUCUAGAGUCCGGAAGAGGUUAGUGGAAUUCCCAGUGUAGAGGUGAAAUUCGUAGAUAUUGGGAAGAACACCAGUGGCGAAGGCGGCCUUCUGGACGAUGACUGACGCUGAGACGCGAAAGCGUGGGGAGCAAACAGG
rnacentral:rRNA from 1 species